AUGAUCAAGAAACCACCUGUUUUUAGCAUUGAUUUCCUUGGUUUUGGAUUUGACGAUUUUAAGAGUGCAAAAGCAGCUGAACCACAUGCAGAGCUCAGAGAAGCUGAAGAAGAUGUGGCUGAAAUGGAGAGAGCACACGGAAUGCAAGAGUACAGUGAGGCGCCGGGCUGGCCCCCGUCAGCACGCAAGGGCAGCUGGAAGCAAGGAGACAGUGCACGCUACUGGCCAAGCACAAGUGCCCAGAGAAAAGCCCCACCCCUUCAGGAGGCGUGCAGACCAGUGGUGAGCCCAGAAAGACUUCAUCAUGUCAGAGUCUUAGCGGUGAGCAUCUGCAUUGGCUGUGGAAGGAAACCUUGCAUCUCCCACACAACGGAUCUGGGCAAGGCAAAGGAGCAUGAAGAGCCACAGGCCACCGGGGGCUUCUCAGACCUGGUCCAGAGAAUUCAAGAAGAAUCUUCUAUUAGGAGCAUAAGGGAGUGA
rnacentral:lncRNA from 1 species